rnacentral:rRNA from 1 species
AUCAAGCUUAACGAUACCGUCGCUUGCCCGUGGAGCUUUUGGGGGUGGCACAGACCAGGGGGUAGCGACUGUUUACCAAAAACACAGGUGCAUGCGAAGGCGCAAGCCGCUGUAUAUGCACUGACGCCUGCCCGGUGCCGGAAGGUUAAGAGGAUCCGUCAGCCCCUUUUGGGGUGAAGCGGUGAAUUCAAGCCCCGGUAAACGGCGGUGGUAACUAUAACCAUCCUAAGGUAGCGAAAUUCCUUGUCGGGUAAGUUCCGACCUGCACGAAUGGCGUAACGACUUCCCCACUGUCUCGACCAGGAGCUCGGCGAAAUUGCAGUACGAGUAAAGAUGCUCGUUAAGCGCAGAAGGACGAAAAGACCCCGGGACCUUUACUAUACCUUGGUAUUGGCAUUCGGUGUGGAUUGUGUAGCAUAGGCGGAAGGCUUCGAAGCCACGGCGCCAGCCGCGGUGGAGCCGCAAGGUGAAAUACCGCUCUGUUCGCAUUGGAUGUCUAACCUCGACCAGUCAUCCUGGUCAGGGACAGUGCCUGGCGGGUAGUUUAACUGGGGCGGUUGCCUCCCAAAGAGUAACGGAGGCGCCCAAAGGUCCGCUCAGCCCGGUUGGCAAUCGGGUUUCGAGUGUAAUCGCACAAGCGGGCUUGACUGCGAGAACGACGGUUCGGGCAGGGACGAAAGUCGGAGAUAGUGAUCCGGUGCCGGCGCACGGGCGCGGCAUCGCUCAACGGAUAAAAGGUACCCCGGGGAUAACAGGCUGAUCAUUCCCAAGAGUCCAUAUCGACGGGAUGGUUUGGCACCUCGAUGUCGGCUCGUCGCAUCCUGGGGCUGGAGCAGGUCCCAAGGGUUCGGCUGUUCGCCGAUUAAAGCGGCACGCGAGCUGGGUUCAGAACGUCGUGAGACAGUUUGGUCUCUAUCCUCUGCGCUCGUUGGAAUCUUGAGGAGGCCUGCCCAUAGUACGAGAGGACCUGGGUGGACGAACCUCUGGUAUGCCGGUUGUCACGCCAGUGGCACGGCCGGUUGGCUACGUUCGGAAGGGAUAACCGCUGAAAGCAUCUAAGCGGGAAGCCUGCUCCAAGAUAAGCAUUCCAUAGGACUACGGGUCCUUGAAGUCCCCAUGCAGAACACGUGGUUGAUAGGCCGGACGUGGAAGCCCCGCGAGGGGUGGAGCCGACCGGUACUAACGGACGAAAGGCAACACAAC